GCGGCCUAUCAGCUUGUUGGUGGGGUGAUGGCCUACCAAGGCGACGACGGGUAGCCGGCCUGAGAGGGCGACCGGCCACACUGGGACUGAGACACGGCCCAGACUCCUACGGGAGGCAGCAGUGGGGAAUAUUGCGCAAUGGGCGAAAGCCUGACGCAGCGACGCCGCGUGGGGGAUGACGGCCUUCGGGUUGUAAACCUCUUUCGACCGGGACGAAGCGCAAGUGACGGUACCGGUAGAAGAAGCACCGGCCAACUACGUGCCAGCAGCCGCGGUAAUACGUAGGGUGCGAGCGUUGUCCGGAAUUAUUGGGCGUAAAGAGCUCGUAGGCGGUGUGUCGCGUCGGUCGUGAAAACUUGGGGCUUAACUCUGAGCUUGCGGUCGAUACGGGCAUCACUUGAGUUCGGCAGGGGAGACUGGAAUUCCUGGUGUAGCGGUGAAAUGCGCAGAUAUCAGGAGGAACACCGGUGGCGAAGGCGGGUCUCUGGGCCGAAACUGACGCUGAGGAGCGAAAGCGUGGGGAGCGAACAGGAUUAGAUACCCUGGUAGUCCACGCCGUAAACGGUGGGCGCUAGGUAUGGGGGCCAUUCCACGGUCUCUGUGCCGCAGCUAACGCAUUAAGCGCCCCGCCUGGGAGUACGG
rnacentral:rRNA from 1 species